rnacentral:tRNA from 1 species
AAGAUUUUAAGUUAAAAAAACUAAUGUGUUUCAAACACUUCAAUAAUGAAAAUUUAAAUCUUA